AAAGAAAAUUGCCAAUUCAAAAAGAAAUUAUAACUUCCUUCACGUAUUUGUUUCAACUCACUGUUAUAUACUUAUAUCCAUUCAAUUCAAAGGGAACCGCUCUUCCGCUGAUUUCAGACCGCACGCAAAACUGUCCGAUCAAAUUCCCGAAAGAUCAAUUUUGUUUCUACAAUUUCUUUUCCCACAGCUGAAAAUACUGAAUCAGAGUUUUGUGGUCUUUUAGGGUUUUUUUUUUCAAGUAUCAAGAUGGAUCUUUCGCAAGAGAUUGACAAUUACAUUCAUGAGUCAAGAGACCGAAGAUUACAUCGGGUGUUUGGUGCCAGAAGAAGACUAGAUUAGUCGGUGUUCUCCUCUAGAUUUCCCCGUCGUAAUCUUUGGAAACUCCUUUUAUUUGGUUAUUCAACUUUAUUUGCAGUUAAAAAUUUCGGAGAAUUCUCUUUUUUCAGUUGAAAUAUGUUGACAUAUUUUGGUGAUUCGUAUAACUGCAAAGCUUUAAAUCGGGAAAAGGUCCUCUACUCCAUCCUAAUGGGCUGGUGGCAAUCGUCAAUAACCCGGUACAGCUUGUGCGAAGGGAAAGUCCAUAUCAAGUUCAGUUUAUCCUUUACAUAAUUUUUUAAGAUGCUUCUAUUCUGAAUGAUAUAUAUAUAUAUUUUUUUUUUUAUUAUUAUUUUUUUAUUUCUUCAUCCUUUGUGAGAUAAAAUGAAGUGUUUUUGAAGUUGUGUGCCAGGUUUCCUCUUUGUCUCUGCACUUCAUUUUUCUUUGUCUUGCCUUGAUUAACUUUAUAUGUGAUAUGCGUUUUUUCCGGUCAGAGUAUAGUAUUCAGUUUUCCAUAUGUGUUUCUAUCAAUGAUUCCUUUCCUUAGUACCGUGAAUUACAUUUUUGGUGGGAAAUGACAUUAAACAAAAAAGGCGGAGGAAAUAAAUCUAAGGUUAUAGCUUGAACAGAACAUUAAUCAAACAUGUUAUGUGCAAGGGGAAAAUAGCAGACCAUAAUAUAAGAAAACAACAAUAGACGAAAAUGCUAUUGCAUCAAUAAACAUGCUCUAAUAAAUGGGUAAGAGAAGACUUUGAUAGCAAUUAGACAAAACAAAUAGGAGAAGAGGAUUCCAACCAAAGAUUCGUGAUACUCACCAGACAUUUCCAGUUUCUAUCAUUAAAAAAAAAGCACCUAAAUUGAGGCUGAAUUAGGAGUAAUUUUCUCUGGCGAAAUCGACAAAAUAUGAAGCAAGAAUCAGUGAGCUAAUAGAAGCUAGAGAACUAUCCAGAAGCUGAGAGUAAUAGAGCAGUUAAGAAGGCUGACGACACACAUAGAAGAUAAGACAUGAAAGGGAAAGUAUUGAGUAUAAGAGAUUACACAUUAUGUACUUUUCAGACUUGGAAGAUGCCUCCUCCUUUAUUUAUUUUCAUGUUCUAAUCCUGUCUCAAAAUAAAAGUUUGGGAUUUGAAUUUCUCAGAUUUUCAUCAAGUUCGAUAUGUUGCAUGUGUUAUCUAGGGCUCGAGAGUAAACAUCGGAAUGAGUAGAUUUUUGCUCUAAUUCUGUAUAGUAUUUCGCUAGGGCUCGAGAGUAAACAUUGGAAUGAGUAGAUUUUUUGCUCUAAUUCUGUACAGUAUUUCAUAUUGCUGAUUUUUGCUAAUCUUUGGCUAGAAAAUGAGACUGUUAGAUUGGCAGUAAACUCUUUCAACUCCAAUCCUGUUUUAGAAAAUGUUGCAGUUAGAUCCCCUCCUGAAAAAUAGUUUUCAUCAGUUGGAGUGUCCUUUUGGAGAAAUUCUAACAUUUGAGUAAACGUUGGAAUGAGUAGAUUUUUGCUCUAAUUAUGUAUAGUAUUUCAUACUGCACGAGAAUGUUUGUUUUUUGUUCAAACUGCUUUUUGGUUUCUGCUUGAUUUUAAAAGGCCUCUCUAAGUUUUUCUCUGUUGGCAGGAAAUCAUUUGAUUUUUAUUUUGUUUUUAAAUUUUGUAUUAAUCUGAAUCAAUAUACUAACAGGUUACAGUGCUCAAAUCUGAAACUGCUUACAAUUUAGAGUGGUAGCUUUUUGAUGGGUUUGACAAUGAUCAGGCAAUAAAAUUUCAACACAGUUUGGAACUUUGCAUUGCAAAUUCUGGAGUUGCAGUCCUACUCUUCCAUUAAGACCAAGAUGGAGGGAGAGAAAGUGCAAUAGAAAACCGCAUGAAAAUUGAAGAAGCUCUUAUGUGGAAGAUGGCUGUCAUGGACUAUGUCUUGAAUUCAAUAUCUCUCCAGUCCAAAUAAGAACAAAUAGUCAAGACAGUGCCUGUUUGCUAUGUGGUACUACUACUUAAAUAAAAGAAGCACCUGUUCUUUGAAUGUGUAUUCUCACAAGCCUGUUUCAUUAUUGCUCUAGCCAGACUACAGAAUAAUAUAAAGAGGCAGGAUCUAUUGGGAAUGUGCACCAGGGUGGCAAGGAAGGAAACAGGAAGAUAAGCAAGGCAUUCAGGAAGAUAAGCAAGGCAUUCAUCUGGGUUGUGGUUGCUGCAAUUAUAUAUCAUAUUUGGAUGGCAAGGAAUGACUCCGGGUGCCUCAUCCACUUUCAAUUAGUAAGAAAGUGCUACAGGAGUGCAAAUAUAGAUUUUUUGACAUGAUGAAGUGGCAACAUGCAUACAAAGAUAGAAGAUGGAUAGAAUAGAUACUGUUGGGGUUAACUGUAUAGAAAGGACUAGGUUGUUAAUUAUAAUAGCAAUAGAUAGAGAGUUUGUUAGUUCGUCGAUGUUUUUUUUUUAAUAGCAGUAGUUUCAAGUUGUAAGGGGGACCUUUUUAAUUGGUGUUUCAAUAAUACUUGGUUCGUUCGCUAAAUGGAAUGGAUCCAUUUCAACUUCUGACUGUUUGUAUCAUGCACUAUAUAUGGUUAUUAUAUUUGAAUUUGGUUCAAAAUUUAUUCCAUGA